CGCACAUUGCGCCCCCUGGCAUUCCGGGGGGCAUGCCCGUUCGAGCGUCAUAACACCACUCAAGCCUGGCUUGGUAUUGGGCCUUCGGGACAACUCCGGGCUCCAAAUUCGUCGGCUAUAAAUUAGUAAAUGGGGAGUACUGUAGCACGGCGCCGUAAAUGUCGACACAUAUACGCGCGUAGUUUGUAGGCCCCUGCCUUUCGCGUUCGCAUCGGUGGCCCGCACUGAACACGAGUUUGACCUCGGAUCGGGUAGGAAUACCCGCUGAACUUAA
rnacentral:misc_RNA from 1 species